AGUCCGGAAAUGUUAUGGCGAAACUUUAAAAGGAACGACAGUGUUGAGAGUCGUUUACGUACGGACACCGAGCUCAAGAAAGGAAGUAGGAAGAAAGAGACUCAAAGUUGAAAGCUUCAAUGGCGAGCCUUGUGUCCAUUACCCUCUCUGUACCUCUCUCAGCUUCACAUUGCUUCACAAAGGUAAGUCCACAUUUACCGAACUUGUCGUCAACAAAAAAAACCAUAGCUUUUAUCCUUGAGCUGCUGAAACAAUCUUAGACAACUUGGGAUUUGAAAGCAGGAGUGGGAAAAUGCUUCAGGAACAGAUGGAAGUGGAUAAAAUCAUGCUCACAGAUGCACCACUUCUAUUCCCUCCUGAGCAGUUGGCAUUGGCUGCUUUGCGUAGUGCAAAUCAGGUGCACAAAGUUGUUGACUUGAGAGAUAUCUGAGGAGCACUCCCUCUCGUCAGAGUUCUGAACAUACCGUUUCAGAGCUAGUUGAAUUACUUAAUGCAAUAGAUUCUUGGGUAUAAAUUCGUUGCAAUCUACAUACAAGUGUGGUGCAAACUUCGUUGACUCUGCUUUAGCAGCACAAACAUUCGUGAAAAUUAUAUAUCAUAAAGCUAGAUGAUUAAGUUCAAGAUUUUCGAAAAAUUUAAUCUGAUAACCUUUUGGUUUCAUUUUCCCAUCUUCUUUUCUUCCUGGCUAAUGUAUAUGCAGGCAAGAAAAUACAAGUUUCCUUCAGACAAGGAUCUCAAGCACAUCAACCGAAAACUGAAAUCUUGUUGGGGUCUUAGUUCACAUGACGAAAGUAAGAAGUGGGAUAAGAAAUCGAAGCACAAGUCGAAGAGGAGCUCAAAUGAAAUGCAACCUGUACCUUCUCAUACUGAAAUCUCUCUGCCUUAACAGCCAUGCAUCGAAGUGGCUCUAUCUUCCCCCUUAUUGUGACUGGCGGAAAAGGUGGUGAUGUUGGACUUCAUGAUUUCUGGUACAUUGCUACUAGAAGGAGUAAAAGGCACAGGCAUUCUGAUAUAGGUGAACAAGUCAUGAAGACAUCAUUGAAUUUUGAUAUGCAUCCUGGGAAUGCUACCAAGCUUGGGGAACAAAAUCAAAAUGGAAUGCUUUGGUAUACACCAAAGGCUCACUCAGGAAGCAAAGAUGGAGAUGUUAAGCUUUGGGACGCCAAGAGAGCUAAGUUGGUAUAUCACUGGCCGAAAUUGCAUGAAAGGCACACAUUUUUGCAACCAAGCACUCGAGGCUUUGGUGGAAUAGUCCAGGAGGAGGUUUAGCCAUAAUCAGCUCAUGCGUCUAUUCAAUCGUUUUAUGACCAAGGAAAAGUGGAGCAAUGAAAUUGUGGACUGGGGUAUUCUAGAGAAGGGAUAGAUCAAAACAAGGUUGUGACGGGAUGGCUGGAUGGGGAAUAAGCUUCAGCAUAGGUGCCAGAGUAUUCUUGAGAGGAUUAGGAAUUUAAAGAUGAAGUUUCUGUCAGCCGUGAGUCGUGGGUUUUGAGUUGCAGGGUUUUGAAGCUUGAAAGAAAAAGGUUGCCUGAACUUUUUUCAGGUGAUUGUUGUCUGAGAGUAUUGUGAGAGAGGAUGAUCUCUUAGCUCAAAUAGAGUAUUGAAGCUCAGUAUGGAGAGGGGAUUUGAGGGUUUAUGUCAUUCUCGUAUUUUAUCAAGAGAAAGUGAUGCUGAGCAGACCUAGACAGACACUCACACAAAGCUCACUAAAGAAUGGGACUGUGCUUCGUCACUUAUUGGUUUCCCAACAAAAAAUGUUUGGCUUGUUUUGACCAAUCCCCUAUUUGCAUUGCGAUAAAUUUGAGAUACACUUUGCACCAAUGAUAUUGCUUGUGUUGGUGCAUAAUUGGAAAAAACACGGAGCUAUUUAAAACUGGUUGACAAAUCCCUUAAAAAAGAACUUAUAAUCCAAAAGGUGUGUUCUUUUUUCAAAAAAAGUGCGCACAAAAUGUAAUU